UACGAGGGGUGCAAGUGUUGUUCGGAAUCACUGGGUGUAAAGGGAGCGUAGGCGGGAGUCUAAGUUGGAGGUUUAAGACCGGGGCCUAACCCCGGCGUGGCCUACAAAACUGGGCUUCUUGAAUGGAACAGAGGUAGAUGGAAUUCUGGGUGUAGCGGUGGAAUGCGUAGAUAUCCAGAAGAACACCAAAAGCGAAGGCAGUCUACUGGGUUCACAUUGACGCUGAGGCUCGAAAGUAUGGGGAGCGAACAGG
rnacentral:rRNA from 1 species